rnacentral:rRNA from 1 species
GACGAACGCUGGCGGCGUGCUUAACACAUGCAAGUCGAACGGAAAGGCCCUGCUUUUGUGGGGUGCUCGAGUGGCGAACGGGUGAGUAACACGUGAGUAACCUGCCCUUGACUUUGGGAUAACUUCAGGAAACUGGGGCUAAUACCGGAUAGGAGCUCCUGCUGCAUGGUGGGGUUUGGAAAGUUUCGGCGGUUGGGGAUGGACUCGCGGCUUAUCAGCUGGUUGGUGGGGUAGUGGCUUACCAAGGCUUUGACGGGUAGCCGGCCUGAGAGGGUGACCGGCCACACUGGGACUGAGAGACGGCCCAGACUACUACGGGAGGCAGCAGUGGGGAAUAUUGCACAAUGGGCGGAAGCCUGAGGCAGCAACGCCGCGUGCGGGAUGACGGCCUUCGGGUUGUAAACCGCUUUCGCCUGUGACGAAGCGUGAGUGUCGGUAAUGGGUAAAGAAGCACCGGCUAACUACGUG